rnacentral:SRP_RNA from 1 species
GCCGGGCGCAGUGGCAUGUGCCUGUAGUCCUGGCUACUGGGGAGGCUGAGGUGGGAGGAUCGCUUGAGCCCAGGAGUUCUGGGCUGUAGUACACUAUGCUGAUCGGGUGUCCGCACUAAGGUUGGCAUCAAUAUGGUGACCUCCUGGGAGUGGGGGACCACCAGGUUGCCUAAGGAGGGGAGAACUGGCCUAGGUUGGAAAUGGAGCAGGUCAAAACUCCUGUGCUGGUCAGUAGUGGGAUUGCGCCUGUGAAUUGCCACUGCACUUCAGCCUGGGCAACAUAGUGAGACCCCAUCUCU